CCUACGGGAGGCAGCAGUGGGGAAUAUUGGACAAUGGGGGGAACCCUGAUCCAGCCAUGCCGCGUGUGUGAAGAAGGCCCUCGGGUUGUAAAGCACUUUCAGUGAGGAAGAACGCCUGGUGGUUAAUACCCAUCAGGAAAGACAUCACUCACAGAAGAAGCACCGGCUAACUCCGUGCCAGCAGCCGCGGUAAUACGGAGGGUGCGAGCGUUAAUCGGAAUUACUGGGCGUAAAGCGCGCGUAGGUGGCUUGAUAAGCCGGUUGUGAAAGCCCCAGGCUCAACCUGGGAACGGCAUCCGGAACUGUCAAGCUAGAGUGCAGGAGAGGAAGGUAGAAUUCCCGGUGUAGCGGUGAAAUGCGUAGAGAUCGGGAGGAAUACCAGUGGCGAAGGCGGCCUUCUGGACUGACACUGACACUGAGGUGCGAAAGCGUGGGUAGCAAACAGGAUUAGAUACCCCAGUAGUC
rnacentral:rRNA from 1 species